CUACGGGGCGCACCAGUGGGGAAUAUUGCACAAUGGAGGAAACUCUGAUGCAGCAACGCCGCGUGGAGGAUGACACUUUUCGGAGCGUAAACUCCUUUUAUAUAGGAAGAAGAUGACGGUACUAUAUGAAUAAGCGCCGGCUAACUCCGUGCCAGCAGCCGCGGUAAUACGGAGGGCGCAAGCGUUACUCGGAAUCACUGGGCGUAAAGAGCGUGUAGGCGGAUUAAAAAGUCAGAAGUGAAAUCCUAUAGCUUAACUAUAGAACUGCUUCUGAAACUCUUAAUCUAGAAUAUGGGAGAGGUAGAUGGAAUUUCUGGUGUAGGGGUAACAUCCGUAGAGAUCCGAAGGAAUACCGAUUGCGAAGGCGAUCUACUAGAACAUUAUUGACGCUGAGACGCGAAAGCGUGGGGAGCAAACAGGAUUAGAUACCCGGGUAGUC
rnacentral:rRNA from 1 species